rnacentral:rRNA from 23 species
CGGACCUCAGAUCAGGCAAGACCACCCGCUGAGUUUAAGCAUAUCACUAAGCGGAGGAAAAGAAACUAACAAGGAUUUCCUUAGUAACGGCGAGCGAAC